rnacentral:piRNA from 1 species
UCAAAUGUUUAAGUGCAGGAGGCCCU